rnacentral:rRNA from 1 species
UAGGGAAUCUUCCGCAAUGGGCGAAAGCCUGACGGAGCAACGCCGCGUGAGUGAUGAAGGUCUUCGGAUCGUAAAACUCUGUUAUUAGGGAAGAAUAAAUGUGUAAGUAACUAUGCACGUCUUGACGGUACCUAAUCAGAAAGCCACGGCUAACUACGUGCCAGCAGCCGCGGUAAUACGUAGGUGGCAAGCGUUAUCCGGAAUUAUUGGGCGUAAAGCGCGCGUAGGCGGUUUUUUAAGUCUGAUGUGAAAGCCCACGGCUCAACCGUGGAGGGUCAUUGGAAACUGGAAAACUUGAGUGCAGAAGAGGAAAGUGGAAUUCCAUGUGUAGCGGUGAAAUGCGCAGAGAUAUGGAGGAACACCAGUGGCGAAGGCGACUUUCUGGUCUGUAACUGACGCGGAGGUUCGAAAGCGUGGGUAGCAAACAGG